rnacentral:sRNA from 1 species
AAGCCGCUCGAGAUUCGAGAAACUGCCCGUGUAACCGCGCUGUUUGAGAUCGUGGAACAGAUGCUGUCCGCAACGA